GCCCGCGGUGAGGUCACCGGCAAGGUAGCCAGCGCCAGGGUCCGGAUGUGGCGGCGGCCAGGGAGGAGGAGGAGGAGAAGGAGGUAAGUCCCUGGGAUUGGGAUUAGGAAGGGUGGGGAAGGAGUGGUCGGGGUGGGCGGCCGGCGUGAGGAUGCUGGCGAGGUAGCCAGUGGCCAGGGCAGGGUCAGAGGUGGCGGUGGGCAGGGAGGAGGAAGAUGAACAGUGUCUGGACGUUGCUCGUCUGGAUGCCCGUGCCGCCGUGCUCGUUAACCAUGUCAGCUAUGUCCUCUCGUCUCUGUCCGGUGUUUUUCGCCUGUGCCCACGCCCCUGUACACCCUGGCCCCUCCCCCUCUCCUCUCUAUCUUGGCUCUAGCUUGCAGAGCCAUUUUCCUUCUCCCAAAUCUAGCUCAUAUGGACACGGCGGUGCCCUUUGCGAUGCAUGGUGGCUGGCGAAAUGCCAAAGAGCAGUGAGACCUUCGGGGAAGGAAAAUGGCUCUUUUCUUAACUACAAUUUUUGCCACUUGGUGGUUCAUAUGUGGAGAUUGCAGUUGGAUUCAACCUGUGAAGGUCUGGGCUUUGGUAUUGCUGUUGCAGAUCCAAUGGCUGCCGGCGACUCUGUGCAGACAAGGCAGAUCAACUGCCCACACAGCAGUGCCAUUAUGCAGAUUUGAGCUCGUACAGAAGUCAGGUGGAGUCAGCUUCUGCCGUGGUCGAUAGAUAAGCUUUUUGCUUCUUCAUAAGCUGAUACAUAAUCUUGGUACAUGGGUUCUUGACACAAGCAUUUUUUAUGCUGCCUGCAAAUGAUGAUACAAGUCAGAUAAGUCUUUGCACGAAAUCAAUUGAUCGUGAAAUAUAGUUGAGAAUGUUCUCUUUUUUAUCUUUGUUUUUAUUACCUCAAAUUGUCUAGAUAGAAGUUGUGUUUUUUUCUACAGUGGAAUUGUUUAUGUAGUAGGUUGCUUAGGUCCUGUAUGGGUCAUCUAUGGAUUAUGGAAUCCAGGUAAAAAAAUCCAGAGCUGGUUCUUACAAUCCUACUAUCUCCCUUUAACUAGCUAUUUUGAGUUUAUAGACAAGCACCCAUGCAACCACCUUAUGAUCCAGGGGUCCAAACAAUCUAGCUGUUUGUAGUCAUAAUUUAGAUUCUUAUAAGCUAUAGCCAUUAUCUGGAUUCUUAUAUUCUUAUGAUUUCCAGACAGAGCCUUAGUCUCAUUGAACAUUAGAGACUUUCUUUCUUUCUUUUUUGUGUUACUUAACAUGUUCAAACAAUGCUUAAUUUAGUAUGGGUCCAAUACAGGGAUGAUCAUGUUUCAAUUUCUCCUGUGAAUGAUCCUGUAGGACUCACUUCCUUUUCUUUCUUCACAUCAUUCUAAUGGAUAUUACAAGGGAAAGUAGAAGGAACUUAGAUAGUUCACACCAUACUUUGUGCACACACUUGACACUGUUGCACUUUAUAACUGCAAUUUAAAUAUACUCCCGCCGUUCUAAAUUGUAAUUCGUUCUAGCUUUUCUAGGUACAUAUCUUUUGCUACACGUCUAGAUACUCCCUCAAUCGUGAAAUAUAGCGCAUUUUCAUUUGACCUAAGUCAAUCUACCUCAUGUUUCACAAAUUAUAGGGAAACAUAUUAACUUCUAUCACAUCAAAAAGGUAAGUUAUAAAAAUACGUUCCAUAAUUUUUCUAAUGGAGCUUAUAUGACGUCAAAAAUAAUAUUGUUCUUUUCUAUAAAUUUGGUCAAACUAAAGAUACAUGUGUUAAGUUAACUAGAGCAACUAUGUGCACGUGCGAUCCACAAGAUGCCACUAGAGCUAGUAAAUAUUUUUGUCACUAGAUUCCACGCCGUGUUACGUGUCAUUGGGUCAAAACUACAGGUGGGUAAAGAAACACCAAUAUAGAACACAAAGAUGAACCAAACCGAGAUAACCAAAUCUUGGUUUGGGUGUUUUUGUUGAUUAGUUUGGCCAUAGAUUUGAUCUAUUUGUUGAUUGUUUGGUGUCGGUUUCGAUCAUGAGUGCAAAAUUAGAACUAACGACAUUGCUUUCCAUUGCUUCACUUGUCUCCUUGGUCCAACAAGCAGCCUAGUGUCUCUAGGGAACCAUAAUGCACAUGUCAGCCAGUCUAUUCCUCUCUGGCUGACCAAUGCUCUCCUAGGUCAUCUCACAUACCACACCUAAACCUAGUACCCAUGGUCUCACAUAGGAUGGCUUCGAUGUAGCGACAUAGCCAUAACAUGGUGCUAGUGAGACAUGGCAAGCUGGGCGUAAGGUGAGGUCAGCGACAGGGAUUGAUAAAUUACACCAUACUUCUCUUCACUGCCCUAAACAACUUUACAUGUACCAAGAAAAUGAGCAUGCCUAUUUCCAUACUUCUGAAGCACCAUAUCUCAAGAAUUAAACCAGACAUUAAGAAUCUCUAAGAGUCUCACACCAUAUGAUAUUUAUUAUUGCCAUGCCAAAAUGUCAUGGAUGGAUCAACAUGUCUCAGAACUAGUUCAAAUUUAAAUGUUCAAUAACAAGCUGUGAACAACAUGUCUCUUCUGUGUCAAAAUGCCAAAAUCUCUCUUCUUUGCCUCUUUGGCUGGUUUGCCGGUUCCAUUUCCUGCACCAUUUAAAAUUGCCCAUAAGUGAUCAAAAUAAGCUGUGAACAACAUGUCUAAUGAGGAAAACUGCGAAAACCACACAUACUCUGCUGGUAAUGUUCUGAUAAGCAGAGUAAUGCAAUAUAUUACAUGUAUGUUUGACUAUUAAGUGCCUACUCAGGCCAAAGGUUUGGGCACCAAAAUUUGCCAAAAGUUGGUCAGAAAUAUUUGCUACAGAUUUGGCAAGUUAAAUGUGAGGUAUUGGUAAAUUUUGGUAACAAACCAAAUAGAGGCCAAAUCCUUGGCUUGCCUAAGUUUUGGUAACUAAAAUUUGGCUAUGAACCAAUCAGACCCUAAGGGCCUGUUUGUUUGCCUGGAUGGCUGGCGCUUACCAGCCUGGCCUGGCCAGCUCUAGACAGGCCCAAGCGGUGCAACUGGGCAUGUUUGUUUGUCUGGCCCAAGCAGGGGCUGCCUGGUGGUGUGAUGGUGUUUGUUUGCCUGGCCCAAGUGUCAGAUUUCCCCAACUACCAUCAACUACCACAUUGGGAAGCUGUUUGUUUGCCUGCACAGCCCAUACUUGGAUACAGGCAAUUUUCCAUUCAGUUUUAACAGCACAUAUUGUAGGAGUUCAAACUAAAUAGUUGUACUAACCUAAUACAUCACUAGCAAUUAUAAUGAUCACAGUUACAAGAGAUACACAUGCUGUUAUCCAAAAGUACAUCUUGAGCACAUUUCAUAGAUCAUAGAUAACAACACGUAUUGAACAAGUUGAAUACAUAAUUCCUACAGGCAAUUUUCCAUUCAGUUUUAACAGCACAUAAACUAACCUAAUAGAUCACUAGCCAAUGAUUUCAGGUCGUCCGAUUAAUCGUGAUUAAUCGUCCUGGUCGCUCCUAGGAUUCGAUUAGAAGGUCCGACUCGAUUAGUUCGACCAGAAAGCUGGUCGUCCGACUAAUCGUCGAUUAAUCGGACGACCAGGUAAGAUGGACGACCAGGCUCCUGUUUUUUUGGGCCUUUUCUAACUGGGACUGGGCUAAUGGGCUUUAAGUUUUUGGCCUGUUAGGGUUUAGAUAGAAUAGAGGGGCUGCAGGGGGGGUUUGGGACAGCAAUAUGGACCUCUGGACAGUGCAGAAAAGAGAAGAAACCAACUCCCACAAGUAAUUCACUAUCUAAACACUAAUGUAGUAUUGAUGCUAGCUUGAUUGUGUAUAUUAUAUAGUAUAUAUAGAGGUAUAUAUAUAGGCAUAUAUGCCCUGAAAUAGCUGGACGACCAGGUGGACGACCAGGGUCGACCAGGGCGAUUAAUCGCCCUGGUCGACGAUUAAUCUCGAUUAAUCGCCUGGUCGGUCCUAGAGCGACCAGCUUCGACCAGUCGACCUGAAAUCAUUGUCACUAGCAAUUAUAACGAUCACAGUUACAAGAGAUACACAUGCUGUUAUCCAAGUACAUCUUGAGAACAUUCCAUAGAUCAUAGAUAACAACACGUAUUGAACAAGUUGAAUACAUAAUUCCAGAGUACAGAAUCUAGCUAAACGAGCUAUAACCAUCUCAGUUAAAAGAGCUAUAAGCACUGGUUGUAACAUAGGUCUGUUUGUUUGCCCGGAUAGAACUAGAAGAAACCAGCAUAAAGGCCUAGUUGCACAAAAGCGGUAGGUAGUAGCAAUGACCGUAGGCAUAAGAACAGAAUAUUAGCAGAAGAACAAGUAGUGCCACCUCUUGAUUAGGGUUUAAAGUCCUGGAGCACAAAAAACAGUAAAGAGGAACAGCUAAUAAGAACUGGUCAUCCAGAUAGCACAUAAUUGGACAAUCCAUCAAAAAAAUUAAGAUCCAAAUGAGAAGAGAGAGCUAACUCUUCAAAAUUAAGAUGUCAUCAUAGGCCUUUCAAGUAACGUCCUUGAAUUAUUCCCCACAAAUAACCAGCCAGGACAAAUAAGCUAAGGAAAAUUAUUUAAUCACUGGUGGCACUACUUGAAAACCCAAAUCUAGUGAACUACAAAGUAAGCACUGCUCAAACAAAGUGGCAAAGGUAGUAACGCAGGGUAGGAAAAAGGCCUGUUUAUUUGCCUGGCCACAACAUCAAGAAACCGGCAUACAGAUCGAUAAUAAUUUCAGUAAUAAAACAGCUGAAGCCACAUCAUAGGCAUCAUGCACAUCAUUGGCACAAAAAUUGUUCAUCAAAGCAGGCUGGACAAAAGUUGUAAUCACAGUGAGAGACAUGAGUUGUGCAUUAUUAGCAAGAAAGAACAUACAUGAGUUAUGCCAGCCGGAACAUGCCCUUCAACCAAAUGUUAAAUAUUUCAUAUCAAAAAAUAACAUCCUAACAAAGGAAUCAUGCAAACCUGCUACUUUAACCCUGUUUACAACCUGAACAGAUGCAAGAGACAACUGCUCAAGAGUGUUUCAUCCUAAACGCUGAAUAAAACCCAAAAAAAAGAAGACUUGAGCAAGGAAAGCAUCAGCAUUAGCUGUUGCAUUGACCUACCCAUAGUAAUAACUAAUGACCAUGCAAAAUAAAUUGAAAACAAGAGCUCCACGGGCGGAGCCCAGUAGAGGCGAAACUGGGCUCCCGGCCCCCCUUCCCUCGAAACAAUUUCUUAAGGCCCAAUAGGAAUAUAGGAUAGCUGCAGUGUAGCAAUAGCCACCAGCCCAUUUAGGCACUCACGUAGGAGGCAGUGCUUUCUCUAUUUUGAAGAUAACCAAGACAAGACUGUGCAACAAGAUGGAAGAUGAUUUCCUUGCCAAUAACUUGUUGGUUCAGAUCGAAGGUGAAAUUGCAGGACACUACCUAUGAUUGAUGAUAUAAUCACAGAUUUCAAAAAUUUGAAGAAAAGAAGAGCAGACCUCUAAGCUGUAGUCGUAUGUCUAACUUAUAUAUUUUGGUGUCCAUGUCUUGUCUUUUGUCUAACAGCCCCUAUGGCCACGGGCCAAUUGUAUUUUGGUAAUGAUUAGGCUAACAAUCUCUACAACCGUGUGGUAUGAGUAUGUGAAUAGUUAUAAAUAUUCAUAUAAAUGUAUAUAUUAAUGAUAUAUAUGCAUUGUCAUUCAUUUUUGGUGUCAAUUACUGUUCACUCUCUAUUUUUUUUAAAAAAAAUCCCCCCCCCCUUAAUUUGGCUCACCCUCCGCCACUGAAGAGCUCCAGUUUAGAUGACAUGAAACUCUACUUAGUUAAUACACAUCCAAAGUAUAAGAUCUAGCCAUUUCUGGACAGGUUGUAAAACAAGUAGUAUACUAUAGUAUUUAGGAAAAGUCAUAUUCAAUACUAUUGUUGGAGGAGACUGGUGGAAAUUUUAAAACUAGACCAAUGCAACAACUAUAAACGAGGCAAAUAAAUAAAAUUACAUCUCUGCUAAUUUACAGUCUGAUAAUACAUCAAUUUCAACACCAUAUAUAAGCAGCCAAAAACGAAUACAGUACAUAACACAAGAGAUAGCUUGCAUUCUAGAACCUGUGAAUGGAGAAGAUGCUAAUUGGCCCCAUGUGUUUAGAUCCUAGCAAAUACUGGUAGCGGAAAAGGCAGCAAAUUUGCUUGAAUCGAUUCAAUACUACUACCAUGCCCAGGUUGCACCUCUAGGGCGCAGUGGCCCAGUUGGUCCAGGCAAACAAAUGCACCCUAAGAAGCUAAACGUUUAGUUAAACAAAUCUCAGUAUAUAUUGACAUCCAGUUAUCAGUUUCUUGGGUAGCUAUAUGUUCAGUUUCUUUUUUGUUCAAUAUUUUUGAUAUAUGAUGAUGAUUACUUGGUUGUCGAAACAUGCACCAGUUGGAUAGUUAGCAGAACUUCUAAGCUGAAGCUCUAUAGAGCUGUAUAUUAGCUGUUAGACACACUGAAAUUUCUGAGAAGGCUUUAUACCUUAGAGCAUCUCCAAUAGUUUCUAAAAAAAUUCACUUGGUAAAUUAAUGAGUUUUCCAAGUGACUAAAAGAAGUUGGGAGCAUAUUUGUUGGCUUCCUCCAACCAUUUAUAAAAGUCUUGUUCCUAAAAGGUAGAAGGUAAUUUUGCAUCAGGAAUCUUGAACUGUCUAAAUCACCCAACCAAUUUUAUACUUCCAUUCUCUCUUGUACAUUUGCAUUAGGAACCCUGUCCUACUCCUUAUUCUUCUCCAUGUACUUUCACCUUUGGAUUGGCUGAUGGAUAUGCCUGCGUAUUUAUCCACACGAUUAGGUAGAUUUUUUCAAGCGCGGAAAGAUUGGGAGAUAGGGAGUUGUUGAAGAGCAGUUUUUUUUAACGUUGCCAAAAAUUCAAGAUUAGGAGUUGGUUUUGAAAACUAUUGGAGAUGCUCUUAGGAUAUCUUUGCCCCUCUUGAUUCUUGAUGAAAGCUUCUUAUUGAUUUAUGAAAACUGAGGUUCAAAAGAGAGGUGCGUGUAUGACGGUACAAAUGUCCUUGAAGGAAUUGGUCUAAUAGAAAAAGUCCAAGAACAGAAUCUGUUGGAUGUGAGCACUGUCUUCCUUCUAUGUUGACACUAACCUCAUGAAUUUACUAGGGUUUGGAUAAUUGGAUGAGCCAGGAACUAAUUUGGAUAAUGAUCUUCCAGUUCUAGAGGUACUUAUUUCUGUAUUUUUUCUUUCUGUUUCAUGUAAUCAUGUCUAUAUAUUAUCAAACACAUGGUAAAUGUACCUAGACAUGAGAGGAUCCAAGUCCAAGUACCACUUGGUGUAACCUUGCAGACAGAAGAUUAAAAUCUUAAAUAUGUGCGAGCUAGUGUUAGAUGGGCAUAUAUAAGGUUAGUACAUGUUGCAAAACUAUUGACUGCAGUGCUCUAUGCUGCUAUUUCAAUUGAGAAUGGUGAUACCAUUGAAAAGUA